CCACCAGGCCCUAUCAGAUCCCACCGGAUCCCAUCAGAUCCCACCAGGCCCUAUCAGAUCCCAUCAGAUCCCACCAGGCCCCACCAGAUCCCACCAGGUCCCAUCAGAUCCCAACAGGCCCUGUCAGAUCCCAUUAGGUGUCACCAGGUGCCAUCAGAUCCCAUCAGGUGUCACCAGGCCUUAUCAGAUCCCAUCAGGUGUCACCGGAUCCCAUCAUCAGAUCCCACCAGGCCCUAUCAGAUCCCACUGGAUCCCUUCAGAUCCCACCAGAUCCCAUUAGGUGCCACCCGGCCCUAUCAGCUCCCAUCAGAUCCCACCAGACCCUAUCAGAUCCCAUCAGAUCCCACCAGGCCCUAUCAGAUCCCACCGGAUCCCUUCAGAUCCCACCAGAUCCCAUUAG
ensembl:lncRNA